rnacentral:rRNA from 1 species
UACAGAGGGGGCAAGCGUUAUUCGGAAUUAUUGGGCGUAAAGGGCGCGUAGGCGGCCUGGCAAGUGGAAGGUGAAAUCCCUCGGCUUAACCGAGGAACUGCCUUCCAAACUGCUUGGCUUGAGUCCGGGAGAGGUGAGUGGAAUUCCCAGUGUAGCGGUGAAAUGCGUAGAUAUUGGGAGGAACACCAGUGGCGAAAGGCGGCUCACUGGACCGGAACUGACGCUGAUGCGCGAAAGCGUGGGGAGCAAACGGG